rnacentral:rRNA from 1 species
UACGUAGGUGGCGAGCGUUAUCCGGAUUUAUUGGGUUUAAAGGGCGCGUAGGCGGCUAAUUAAGUCAGUGGUUAAAGGUAGCAGCUUAACUGUUUUACAUGCCAUUGAUACUGGUUAGCUUGAGUUGACGGAAGGCAGAUAGAAUUUCUGGUGUAGCGGUGAAAUGCUUAGAUACCAGAAGGAAUACCGAUUGCGAAGGCAGUCUGCUGCAGUCACACUGACGCUGAGGCUCGAAGGUGCGGGGAUCAAACAGG